GACGAACGCUGGCGGCGUGCUUAACACAUGCAAGUCGAACGGAAAGGCCCUGCUUGCAGGGUGCUCGAGUGGCGAACGGGUGAGUAACACGUGGGUGAUCUGCCCCUUACUUUGGGUUAAGCCUGGGAAACUGGGUCUAAUACUGGAUAGGACCAUGCUGUAGGUGGUGUGGUGGUAAGACCAGUUUCGGUAAGGGAUGAGCUCGCGGCGUAUCAGCUUGUUGGUGGGGUAAUGGCCUACCAAGGCGUCGACGGGUAGCCGGCCUGAGAGGGUGGACGGCCACAUUGGGACUGCGAUGCGGCCCAGACUCCUACGGGAGGCAGCAGUGGGGAAUAUUGCACAAUGGGCGCAAGCCUGCUGCAGCGACGCCGCGUGGGGGAUGACGGCCUUCGGGUUGUAAACUCCUUUCGGCCAUGACGAAGCCCUUGUGGUGACGGUAGUGGUAGAAGAAGCACCGGCUAACUACGUG
rnacentral:rRNA from 1 species